GUGCAUCUUUCUUAUAUUGAUUUUUUUUAAAGAAUCUUUCUUAUAUUGAUAAAAGGGCAUGCAUUGUUGCCCAAUAAUUAUAUCAUUUUGGAAGCUUUUUGAAUUUAGGUAUUGAUUAGUGCUUGAAUAUACGUUUGAUACUGAUUACUUGUUUUUUUCUUAGACUGAUCACUAGGGAAAUCUUUUUUUUUAGAUAGACGAAUUGACAAAGUUAUCAUAAACUCACACACGCAAAGUGUAGGUAUCGGAUUUGAACCCCGACCAUGACAUCCGGCCUAACAAUUUCGGCAUUUUUGUCUGUUGAACUAGGACUUAUGGGAUGAUUACUGAGAUAAAUAUGUUUUUAUUAGAGAUAUAAUUUAGUUACAAAUAGUAUUAGUUCUAUAGUAGUAUAUAUAGUUGUAACCACCCCAUUAGUAGGAUACUUUCACUCAUCUGUAAUAUUCCAUUUUUCAUAAUACAAAGAGUUUAUUAGUUUUCUCUCCUUCUUUCCAUGGAUGCCAUGAUUCCUAACAGUUUUGUAAGGUGAAACAUUAAUUAGUCCAAAAAAUUAAUGAUAUAUGGUCAAAUGAGUAGACCAAAUAAAGUGUUAUCAGUAAAUGAAUACAAUCUACUACCAACAACAAAAUUUUAGACCAUGUGAGCUAAAGGUACAACCAUUUAUUUAUACCUACUUUCGUUACCUAACUACUUUCAUUUCUUUGUAUAAUGAACAAAAGAUUACAACUGUAACAUUUUUUACCAUAAGAUUGUUCACAAUCACAUGCAUAUGUGAAUUGAGAAUAUUAUUAUCACGAUUUCAUUCUAUUAUUAUGAAGGAUAUAAAAAAAUGGAGAUGAUAAGAAAAGUGUAACAAGUGUAACAAUAUUACAACAUAAAUAUAAAAUUAUACGCAUAGAAGUAACAAAACUAAUUUCUAGAUUAACUAUUAAAGAUAUUAUGAUAACUGAUUGGAAAGAAAAUGUGAUAUUCAGCCUGAAUAGAAGGCUACAACAAUCUCUCUAAAAUAAAGAGAAAAUAAGACAAUCAAAAUAAUAGUAUUUUACUAACUUAUUUCAUUUCUUUACCAUCAUCCUAAAUUAAAAAGCAAUAACUAUAAGAAUUUUGAAAUUAGAAAAAUAAGACAACAAGUAACUAAAAAGCAACUAAUUUAAUAUUUUAAACUAAAUGUAGAAUCAUGAUAGUAGAUAACCUUGUAUAUAUUAUGCAUUGUCCUUACCAACUGAAUGGUUAACAUAUACAAAUGGUGAACCUUCACUUCGGUAUCACACCAAGGGUACACAUAUCUGGUGGACAAUGAGCAUCAUUAAAACAUGUACGAAUCUCUGUAAUGAAAAAGGAGAAGAAAAGAGUGUAACUAAAAUGGAAUAAUAUAUUUGUUACAAAAAAAAAAAGGUAAUUUAAAAACUGGCUUACUUUCAGCAUAUGUUGCUACGUCAAGAAUUAGAAACAGAAAGAUAAUCAUAACAUAAACAAACUUGAAAACUUCAUCCAUGUUUCCCUUAUUUACAUAUAACAAAUGGUUUUAUAACUUUAUAAUUUAUAAAGUUCAUCUUCUCCUUACUUCAAUUAAAUUGUCUUUUUCGUAGAACAAUUAAAUUUCUUUUAGCACUUAUGAAGUCAUUAUUAAAUGUCUCUUAAGUGCAUGAAUGUGUUUUUUUUAGGGUUGCAUCAAUGUGUUUUGUUUUCCCCUUUAGAACACCAUGAAAUGAGGUUAUAUAAAAAACUUAUCAAUCAUAAGGUAUCUUUUUUUUUUAAAUUAAAAUCUCUAUUAUUUUAUAACUUUUCAUGAUAUGAAAGGGAAAAUCACUAAAAAGAAUAAUAUCGUUGAAUAAUACAUUUAUGCAUUCAUUGGUGUAUUGUUUGAUAAAACUUAACUACCAACGGUGUUGCAAUAGUUGUGAUUGAGUGUGUUGUUGGAUCAAAGUUAACUACAAAAUGUGGCACAUUAGCUGUGAUUGAAACUUGUGGCCCAUAGGCUACAAUUGUUGUAAAUACCAGAUUGUUCAAAAUAGUGUAGCCUUUAUUUUUUCAAUGAUAAAAUAAAAGAAAAUGAUUUACCUUCUAACAUUUUCUAAAGUAUCGAGGUAGCAUGUGAUGAGAAAACUAGGAAAAUAAAAGAGGUUAAAUGAAAGAAACAUAAAAUCAAACAAAAGAAAAAGAAAUUACAAAAAUAAACAAAAGAAAUUAGAGAAAAAAUAAACAAAAGAAAAGAAACAAAGAGAAAAUGAAAUUAAAAAAGAAAAAGAAUAUUUGGUGCUAACUUACUAGAUGUUGUAAGCGGUAGAGUUAAAACUUAUUAGAAAAAGGUGUUAGCAAAUAUACUAUCUUAAAAAAAAAUUGAUAACUUUUAUCACUGCAUCUAUCAUUUCUCUAAAACUAUUCCUAGCAUCGUUUUAAUUUAAUCAUCUUAGUAUCCGCAUUAUCAUUCCAAUAGUCAAAUUGUUGUAAAGAUUUUCAUAUAUUUUAGAGGAAAUCUAUUGUCAUCCCCUUUAGUUUUUUUUUUUUUUUUUUUUUUUUUGAAAAAAUCCCCUCUAAAUCCAUAUUGCUAUCAUCAUAUUACCGGCCAACAAUGAGUCACCCUCCUUAUUUUAUUACUCAUAAUGAAAUCUAAAUCGUUUAUCAUUUUUGUGAGUACCAUGAAGUAUGGUGCCCAGGUACAAAAGAUAUGACUUGACUAAUCUUCUAGUUAGUUGAUAAUUAAAUUUGGCAAGUGCACCAAACCUAAUUAAAUUUGGCAAGUGGAUCAAAUCUUUUUCAAAUAAUAAAACAUAUGUAUUGUCAUUUCAACUAAGCAAUUAGAUGAACUUAUUAAAAUAGUAAAUAAAUAGUAAUUAAAAUGUGGGGCGUUUGCAAUUUUGAUUUUAUUACACAAAGCAAUUGAGUUGAUUACAGAAAAUAAAAAAUUAUUGAGGAAGUAAAGUGUAGAUUUAACAUAAAAGGAGAGGGGAAAAUAAUUCAAACUUCUCUUACAGGAGGGGAGUGAAAUUUUUUCUAAUAUGUUCUGAAUUGAAGGGGAGAUGAGGGGAGUGUAAUUCAAGCAUCUUUAAGGGAUUGGAGAGUGUAAUUUACUCAUUUUAUAUAUUACUAGUAAAAUAUUCCUAUUAUUUAAACUUAGACACUAGUUUUCUUAAGUCUUUCCCUCAUAAACCUCAAUAUUUUGGUUUUGCCCAUAAUAACCUUUCAUUAGUUGCCUUCCCAUCAAUUUUGAGCCUACCUUCUCAUCUGAGGCAGUUGAGAAUGGUGGUCAAUUUUGAGCCUACCCUUUUAUGUGAUAUGAAAUCUAAUGAAACAUACUGAUUGCAUAUGAUGAUAACUGUUAUGUGCAUCUUUCUUAUAUUGAUUUUUUUUAAAGAAUCUUUCUUAUAUUGAUAAAAGGGCAUGCAUUGUUGCCAAAUAAUUAUAUCAUUUUGGAAGCUUGCUGAAUUUAGGUAUUGAUUAGUGCUUGAAUAUACGUUUGAUACUGAUUACUUAUUUUUUUCUUAGACUGAUUACUGGGAAAAUCUUUUUUUUAGAUAGACGGGUUGAUAAAGCCAUCAUAAAUUCACACACGCAAAGUGGAGGUAUCGGGUUCGAACCCUGACCACAACGUACAACCUAACGAUUUCGGCAUUUUUGUCAGUUGAACUAGGACUUAUGAGAUGAUUACUGAGAUAAAACUGGUUUUUAUUAGAGAUAUAGUUUAGUUACAAGUAGUAUUAGUUCUAUAGUAAUAUAUAUAGUUGUAACCACCCCAUUAGUGGGAUACUUUCCCUCAUUUGUAAUAUUCCAUUUUCCAUAAUACAAAGAGUUUGUUAGUUUUCUCUCAUUCUUUCCAUAGAUGCAUGUUUCCUAACAGUUUUGUAAGGUGAAACAUUAAUUAGUCCAAGGAAUUGAUGAUUAUAUGGUCAAAUGAGUAGACCAAAUAAAGUGUUGGUCAGUAAAUGAAUACAAUCUACCAACAGCAAAAUUUUAGACUAUAUGAGCUAAAGGUACAACCAUUUAUUUAUACCUACUUUCGUUACCUAACUACUUUCAUUUCUUCAAAAAAUGGAGAUGAUAAGAAAAGUGUAACAAUAUUACAACAUAAAUAUAAAAUUAUACGCAUAGAAGUAACAAAACUAAUUUCUAGCUUAACUAUUAAAGAUAUUAUGAUAAGCAGUAUGGUUGGAAAGAAAAUGUGAUAUGUCAGCCUGAAUAGAAGGCUACGACAAUAUCUCUAAAAUAAAGAGAAACGAAGACAAUCAAAAUAGUAGUAUUUUACUAACUUAUUUCAUUUCUUUACCAUCAUCUUUGAUUACAAGGAUUUUGAAAUUAGAAAAAUAAGAUAACAAAGUAACUAAAAAGCAACUAAUUGAAUAUUGUACACUAAAUGCAGAAUCAUGAUAGUACAUAAUCUUUUAGAUAACUCAAUGGUUAACAUUUACAAAUGGUGAACUUACACUUCGGUAUCACACCAGGGGUACACAUAUCUGGUGGACAAUGAGCAUCAUUAAAACAUCUACGAAUCUCUGUAAUGAAAAAGGAGAAGAGAAGAGUGUAACUAACAUGGAAUAAUAUAUGAUAUAUUGGUUAAAAAAAAAAAAGGCAAAUUAAAAAAUGGCUUACUUUGAGCAUUUGUUGCUACAAUAAUUUGAGAGAAAAAGAUAAUCAUAACAUAAACAAACUUGUAAACUUUGUCCAUGUUUCCCUCAUUUACAUUUAACAAAUAGUUUUAUCACUUUGUAAUUUAUAAAGUUCAUAUUCUCCUUACUUUAAUUAAAUUGUUUUUUUCGUAGAACAAUUAAAUAUCUUUUAGCACUUAUGAAGUCAUUAUUAAAUGUCUCUUAAGUGGAUCAAUGUGUUUUUUUUUACGGUUGCAUCAAUGUGUUUUGUUUGUCCCUUUAGAACACCAAGAAUUGAGGUUAUAUAAAAAACUUAUCAAUCCUAAAAUAUCAUUUUUUUAAAAUUAAAAUCUCUAUUAUUUUAUAACUUUUCAUGAUAUUAAAGGAAAAAUCACUAAAAAAAGAAUAAUAUCGUUGAAUAAUACAUUUAUGCAUUCAUUGGUGUAUUGUUUGAUAAAA
rnacentral:lncRNA from 1 species